CAAACUGUGACCUUGACACGCAAGAAGAGUUACAAGGGGAAAUGACAUCGCAUGUUAAUGUUUGACAGUUGUAUAUUUAACGUCUAUGCGUGUGCAGCUGUGAAGUGUACUUUUAUGCGAUUAUCCAGUACAUAAGAGUGUGACCAUGCCUGUGACACAGGCCCGUGUGCUGACUCUCAACAGGGGAGAGAACAGGGAGACAACUCUGUACCGACUGGAGAAAGGAUGGACUCUCCGAUUUGCCCUCGGUCCCUCGCUGUUGUCUGCUUCUGUGCGCCUGUACUGCAACCACCCUCCGUCUAGCGACAAGACCUUCAAGCGCACCACCUACUAUGAGCUGCCAUGGAGGAGUCCCAGCGGGAUGAGUAGUGAUCGCCAUGAUGUCUUUGCUGAAGUCAACAUGGGCAUAGCUGGGUCAUUCAACUACUUCUUUACAGUUGAUGGCAGUGAUGUCCCUUCAAGUGCCGAUGGCCAGGGUUACUUUCUGGUUGACCCGACCCUCCAUGUUGGAUCAGACAAUGUGGAGAUAACUCUCGACUGCAUCCAGUGUCAAACCGUCAUCACCAAACUCCUCGGACCUUUCUCCCAGUGGGAGAACAGACUGCGAGUUGCCAAGGAAACGGGGUACAAUCUCAUACACUUCACUCCAAUACAAGAACUUGGCAUUUCUAAUUCUGCUUACUCCAUACGAGAUCAACGAAUUUUGAGCCCAGUGUACAACGAUCAUCAACAAUAUUCAUAUAAAGAUGUCAAAACUCUUGUAGAGACUAUGCAAAAUGACUGGCAAGUUCUGGCGUUGACAGAUUUAGUAUUUAAUCACACAUCCAAGGACAGCCCUUGGGUUCUAGAGCAUCCAGAAUGUGCCUAUAAUUUGGAGAAUGCAGCCCAUCUGAUGCCAGCAUAUGUGAUGGACCGUAUCUUAAGCGAGUUUAGUGAUGAGGUAGCUAAGAAAAAGUGGGUUUCUAAAGGUGUCCCUUCCAGCAUUGACGACGAGAGUCAACUCCAGGCUAUUCGCCAUGUGCUGCUCACUGAGGUGUUUCCUCGCUACAGACUUCAGGAGUUCUACACUGUUUCUGUGGAUGGGACACUGAAGGAAUUCAAGAGAGGUAUUGAAGAGAACCGUCACAUCUCAGAGAGCAAGGAAGCCUUGGACAUAAUUCAGGACCCCCAGUAUCGUCGACUCAAGUCCAAGGUGGACCCUGACACUGUCCUCAAGCUCUACAACGUAGAUAGCGAGGACGGUAACCAUGACAACAGGCCCGGUGUCCUUAACAGACAGGAAAGGAUUACAAAGUGCUGUGACAGUUUGCGUGCCAGGCUGAAUGAGCUAAAUGGUGCAAAGGAAAGGGAUAUCGAGGAAAUCAUCAAGGUCGCUGUUGAGAACUUUGUUGCCAAUGUAAGGUGGCGGUUUCUUGACCCAAAUGGACCCCAGGUCGGAACCGUCACAGGAAAAAAGCCCUUGAUGCACAGCUACUUUGUGUGGCCGGAGUCUCACAGCGGGACGGUCGACUGGGCGGAGCAGAAGGUCACGUCAGGGGAGGGUGCCCGUGUGAUGGCAGUCAAUGGAUGGGUCAUGGGGGAUGAUCCUCUGAAAAACUUUGCUGAAGAAGGGUCUAAUGUUUAUAUACGACGAGAACUGUUAGCAUGGGGAGACAGUGUGAAGCUACGCUAUGGACAGAAACCAGAAGACUGUCCCUAUCUAUGGAAUCACAUGAGAGACUAUGCAGAGACAACUGCUCGGAUCUUCCAUGGUGUGAGACUGGACAACUGUCACAGCACACCCAUACAUGUGGCUGAGUACAUGUUGGAUGCUGCCAGAAAGGUGCAGCCUGACCUGUACGUGAUUGCGGAGUUGUUCACUGGAGGCGAGCAUCUUGACAAUCUCUUCAUCAACAGACUGGGCAUCAACUCUCUCAUCAGAGAGGCGCUGAUGGCCUGGGACGCCCACGAAGAAGGCAGGCUGGUUCACAGAUAUGGAGGUGUCCCAGUUGGGUCAUUUGUCCAGCCCCGCAUCCAGCCCCUAGUCCAAACCAUGGCUCAUGCUAUCUUCUUUGAUCAGACUCACGACAAUCCAAGUCCAAUAGCGAAACGUUCUGCUUACGAUCUCUGGCCAACUGCUGCUCUGGUGUCCAUGGCCUUCUGUGCAACAGGAAGUAACAGAGGAUAUGACCAGUUGGUCCCUCAUCAUAUCCAUGUAGUGAAGGAAGAGAGACUGUACCCAUCAUGGACCGAGGCACAAAACCCAGACGCCAGCCAUAUCAACAAGACAUUCGGCAUCACGUUGGGGAAGAGGAUGUUGAACCAGCUGCACUAUGAGAUGGGCAUGAACGGAUUCACACAGGUAUACGUAGAUCAGCUCGACCCUGCCGUUGUGUCCGUGACCAGGCACAACCCACGAACACACGAGUCUAUAGUCCUGGUAUCCCGCACAGCAUUCCAGAAUCCUGACAACCCUGAUGACACGGGAUACAUCCGACCUAUCACUGUGGAAGGGAUCAUCGAGGAGAUUAUAUUUGAGGGACGCAUGCGCAGUGCAAAAGGUUACACAUACGAGGAAAACAAAGAAUUCAUCAAUGGGCUUCCAGAGUAUUACCUUGAACUCCGAGAGCAUGUGAAGGUUGAGGACAGUGGUAUGGUGAAGGUCAAAGAGUUAGGGGACAAGAUGGAGGUGUCGUUUGCAUCCUUCACCCCUGGCAGUGUGGUUGCUUUCAGAUCAUCACUGCGGCAACCAGCCAAGAAUGCCAUACUGGAGAUUCGUCGAGGCCUUGGUCAGUUCGGCUACCUGAUGCGGUCCUACAGUGGACACACCAUGUUUGAUGAGUCUUGGGACACGUCCAACUUUCGAGCAAUCGUCUCCACUCUGUCUCUAGCUGAUCUCAACCGGGUUCUGUAUCGAGUAGACGCGGAGGAGCGCGAUGAUGGCAACGGGUUUGGAUCCUACCACAUCCCGAAUCAUGGUGACCUGAUCUACUGUGGACUGAGAGGGAUAAUCUCACUGUUGGCUGAGAUCCGACCUCAGAAUGACCUUGGCCACCCUCUGUGUAAAAACUUGCGGACUGGGGAUUGGCUAGCUGAGUACACUGCCAACAGACUCAAGGUGCAUCAUGGGACAGAAAAGCUGGGGGCCUGGUUCGAUGCUGUGUUCAGUUACCUGAAGAAAGUGCCCCGCUACCUGGUGCCAUGUUACUUUGAUGCCAUAGUAACCGGAGCCUAUGUUGUCCUACAAACCAUGGUAGUUCAACAGCUGUCAGACUUUAUUCGUGAUGGCUCAACUUUCGUACAAGCCCUUGCCAUGGGCUCUGUCCAGCUCUGUGGAUUUGUCAAGACCUCCAUGUUACCUCCCUUGUCUCCAGACCUUGCAGUGCCACCUGCACGAAGAGAGGUGGACCUGAAAACAGGGGAGGAGAUUGAGGCAACACUGUCUUUGGCUGCAGGUUUCCCACACUUCUCAAGUGGCUACAUGAGGAACUGGGGCAGAGACACCUUCAUUGCCCUGAGAGGGCUCCUGCUGCUGACUGGGAGAUACCAGGAGGCAAGGUGCUUGAUACUGGCAUAUGGGGGAACACUGCGACACGGUCUCAUCCCCAACUUACUUAACGAGGGUACAGGAGCUCGCUACAAUUGCCGCGAUGCCAUCUGGUGGUGGCUACAGGCAAUACAGGAAUACACAAAACUGGUACCAGGAGGCAGUGCUAUACUCCAAGAUAAGGUGUCCCGACUCUACCCUACUGAUGACAGUGAAGCUCUCCCUCCUGGCGCUCAUGAUCAGCCUCUUUGUGAUGUCAUCCAGGAGGCCCUUCGUCGCCAUGCAGAGGGAAUCAAGUACAGGGAACGCAAUGCUGGACACCAGAUUGACAGUGAGAUGACAGAUCCAGGGUUCACUGUGGAAGUGGGUGUGAGGUGGGAGACUGGGUUUGUGUAUGGAGGCAAUGAACACAACUGUGGGACAUGGAUGGACAAGAUGGGCAGUUCCCUCAAGGCAGACAACAAGGGCAAGCCAGCAACUCCCAGGGACGGAUCUGCCGUGGAGCUGGUGGGACUCAGUCUCUCGACCCUGAGAUGGCUGGCCCAGCUACACACCGAGGGCUUGUACCCCUACAGUGAGGUGACAGCAUCAGACAAAGGGCAUCAAUAUAGUGUGUCAUUUACCAAAUGGGCAGACAAGAUCAAGGACAACUUUGAGAAAUGUUUCUGGAUCAGCAAGUUCCCAGAACCCAAGGAGACCACACCCGAGCUGAUCAACAGGAGGCCUAUGUACAAGGACUCCUACCAUGCCACACAGUUCUGGGCCAACUUCCAACUCAGGCCCAACUUUGCAGUUGCCAUGGUGGUGGCCCCUGAGUUGUUUGAUGUGGACAAUGCCUGGUCGGCCCUGGAGACAGCAGGGGAGGUCCUUCUUGGACCCCUCGGGAUGAAGACACUCGACUCAAGGGACUGGGGCUAUGAAGGAGAUUAUGACAACGCCAACGAUGGAGAUAACACCAAGCUGGCCCGCGGAUGGAACUACCAUCAAGGCCCGGAGUGGGUAUGGCCUAUUGGGUACUUCUUGCGAGCCAAGCUGUACUUCGCAUCAGUACUGGAGAAGACCACACCAGGUGUUCUGAAGGAGACAGUCAACUUCGUGGAGACAGCGCUGAGUCAGCACUACAAGGAGGUCAUGACCUCGGCCUGGCAAUCUCUUCCAGAACUCACCAACUCUAACGGAUCGUACUGUAGAGACAGCUGCAGAGCCCAGGCCUGGAGUACUGGAUGUGUUCUCGAGGUCCUGUAUGAUCUGGAGAUGUUACAGAAAGACAAAGCAGCAUGAUGAUGGCUGGUGUAGAUACUGGACACUUAGCUUACACUAAAGUUGCAGACAUGCUUCAGGUUGUUGGAGAGUCAAAUGUCUUACCUACUGCUACUCACUGCAGCUUCAAGUCAGGUGUUUUAUGUCCUGGAAUAGUGUUGCCUAUGUACCUGAAAAUCUAAGGUACUUACAAUAGUUUGUUUGUGUAAAAGAUUACCGGUCUGACAAAACUAAAUAUGAAAUGUGUAAAAAAUAUAUUCUGAUAUAUGAUUAUUCCAAUGAAUGCUACGUCAUUGCGUUGCUUUUUAUAAAUAAGGGGAUACAGCUUUUUUAAAGUCACACACAAACGUCUUUCCUUCCAUCUAUAGGCCCAAGCCUUCUCUCACUGUUCAUGUAAACAUGACAAAUAGUUGCUCAACUAAAAGAGUUCAAACCUAUUCUGUUUUUACAGUAAGGAAAACAUGCAAGUCGGGUCCCAAUAUUCUGAGAAGAUUAAGUCACACAAAUUUGUUUGAUGACAAUCACUGAUCUCCUCGACAGCAUUAUGUUGCAAUAUGUCUCAGCCCUGCCAAACUCCUCGUCUGUUUGGGAACUGUUUGCUUGUUAUGCUACUACAUAUAUUACACAGCUUGUAGAACUCGACCUGUCGUGUAUCAAGAGUCCUUUACAACUAAGUAUAUCCAAAAAUCGAUAUAUUGCCCAUUUGGAGCAGUGCAGCUGAAAUGAUAUGGUGUUCAGUGUCAAACAAAAAGUGAAUUAAUUCCCUUUAUACAACAUGUUGCAAAUCUUCCUUUUGGGCAUGGUGCUGCAACAUUCUUUGUGUUAUGGCAUCACUGUACUGAAACCUAGAUGUGAGACAUCAUUGCAUGUUGUAAUGCAAUCUUAAUAACAACUGCCAGGUCACAGUUGCGUCCUGACUGAUUUCUGUCAUAUGAUCACUAACUUUCAAUAUAUCCUUGGAAGACGGUGAGAAAGACAGUUUGUUUCCUUAAAACUAGUCACGACUGACAAGAAUCGAUGUAUUGUGACAUUGCUGGCUUUAUUAAAUAGUUUGGUUUACAAUUUUACCUAGCUAUGUAUAAUGAAAGGGCAUUCUAUUACAUAGACAUCAUAUAGUGUUAUUAUGAACCUCUGGGCAUUCAUUAGUUUAAGGUAAGUCUCUUCAGUGAAAGAUAUAACCCUGAUGAUAUGUUCAGUAUGAAGUGAUCAGUUGAGGUGUGUUCACUGCCAACCUGUAACACCUGCACUCCUAUCUUAACUAGGUUUCCAUGUUUAUUCCCAUCUUAACUAUAGGUUUCCUUGUUUAUUCCUAUCUAAGCCGUACAUUUCCAUGUUUAUUCCAAUCUUAACUAGGUUUCCUUGUUUAUUCCUAUCUUAACUAUAGCUUGUUUCCUUGUUUAUUCCUCUUAACUUAAAGUUUCCAUGUUUAUUCCGAUCUUAACUAUAGAUUUCCUUGUUUAUUCCUAUCUUAACUAUAGGUUUCCAUGUUUAUUCCUACAUUAACUAUAGCUUUUUCCUUGUUUAUUUCUAUCAUAUCUGUAGAUUUCCAUGUUUAUUCCUCUUAACAAUAGGUUUCCUUGUUUAUUCCUAUCUUAACUUUAGGUUUCCUUGUUUAUUCCUAUCUUAACUAGGUUUCUGUGUUAUUCCUAUCUUAACUAUAUAUUUCCAUGUUUAUUCCUUUGUGGCUAUAAUUGAUCUCAUUAGUGUAGACUAACUGACACCCCUUUGUAAAAAUCCUUUACAUCCGCAAUUGUGGGAUGGUAGUUGUAGUUAUUGAUUCCUUAUCAGUACUGUGAUAAGAUGACAAAAACAACUUGGGACUGUGAUCUUGCACCUGUUGCAGCCUCCUGUUAAUGUAUUUACUAUGUUACGUAUUCCCAAUGUUUAUUCCUGUGUUAAGUAUACCCCAUGUUUAUUUCUAUGUCAAGUAUUCCUUGUUUAUUCCUGUGUGAUGCAUUCCCCCUGUUUAUUCCUAUGUUAAGUAUUCACCCUGUUUUUAAGUAUUUCCCCCUGUAUUCCCAGCAACUCCAAUUCCAGUGUAAGAAAAUUGGGUAUUACACAGCAUAGAUUAUUUCUUAUAGUUUGUAGAACUUCUCUAUGUCUGCUAUAGCCCAACCGGUGUAUAUGUAAGCUAGCGUUGUUUUCUUGAUGAUGUUUAUAUCAUACAUAGAUUUGUUUGCCUUGUGUUAUUUGUGUUGAAGAGUUCACAAAUAGGAAAUAAGUGUUGAAUAAUGAUCAGACAGAACUCAUCAAUGACAAAACAUGUUCCUAAGGACUAAUUUUCACUCUCUGUAAGGAACAUAUAUUUUUAAAAACUGUUUGGUUAAAUUGUAUUUUAUAUUGACUUUCCAACGUGUUGUAGACUUGUGUGGGAGUUCUCUGAUAUGUUCCUUUCAGGGGCUGUAAACAUGGAAUAGGGCAGUCCUGACACUGAUGUUACCUGUUAUGUAAUGUUGCCUUAGAACCAAACUUUAUAUCACUAGAUCUAUUCUUUUAUGCCGAGUUUUUCCACUGGUUAACAUAUUAACAAUGUACUUGUGAUGUUGAGAGUUUCUUGUUUGCCCAGACUGUUGAAGCAGAUUGCCACUGUGCACGACUGGGGUGUACUGUGGGAACAGCUGGUAUGUCAUGUUCAUUCCUUAAUGAAGGAGUCUAUUUGUCUACUGUACAAGCGUUAAAACGUUUUCACUACAACAGUGGUCAAAUUUGUUUUCGGUAUCAAAUUUGAAAAAGUGGAAGACUUAAGGAUUUCUAAUCUAUAAAAAGGGAUGUGUCUAUGUCAAAUCCAUAAGGUCGAGGUCUAAGUGAGAAUAGACAGAGAAUCCAUGCAUCUCAAUGUCAUUGUGAAACAUGCUGGACCUAAACUGAAUAUUCAACACUUACUUGUAUAUACGGAUGGUGUACAGCUUUCCAGGAGAUAACUAUUGCAACUAUUUGAGUGAGUCCAAUGUAUAUAUACAUGUGUGUAGUAUAAACGAAGAGGGAAGUUCAUGAAUUGUGGAUUUGUUCUAGAUGGUUUUGAAAAUACAAGGUAUUUCGAUAUGCGUCUAGUUCACAUGAAACUAAGAAUUCUAUCCUUAUGUUAGAGUAUGCAAGCAUAUCUACAACGUUCACAUAUCUUUGGAAAUUUCAUAUUGGCAAGAUUUCAACUGAAAUUGUUUUAUACCACUCUGUUUCCAUGACUACAGUUUUAUAUGAGGGUAAAGUUGUUUAGUUGAAUGUUUUGAUUUGCAUGGAAUAACCAAAUACUUGUAUCGAUCAUAUUUGGUAUAACUAUCACAAUGAAUGUAUGCUGACGGAGAGAAAUCAGGCAGUGAAGUAUUGAUAUGCCACCUGUAUAUAUCCUUCGACGGAUGUCCCUUACAACAUAGUUUCACCACAGGUAUUAACUUGUAAUUUUGGUUGACAUGAAGCAUCUAAUAUUAACCACAGCAUUCAACUUUCUUUGUCUCUAUGGGUAUUUGCUACCUUACUUUAUCACAUCAAUCAGUGAGGUCACGUCAAGCAAACCCUCAACAUGAGGUCAUGUCAGGUGAACCCUACGCAGGAGGUCAUGCCAGGUGAACUCUACACAGGAGGUCAGGUCAGGUUAACCCUACACAGGAGGUCAUGUCAGGUUAACCCUACACAGGUCAUGCCAGGUGAACUCUACAUGGGAGGUCAUGUCAGGUUAACCCUACACAGGUCAUGUCAGGUUAACCCUACACAGGAGGUCAUGUCAGGUUAACCCUACACAGGAGGUCAUGUCAGGUUAACCCUACACAACUCAUGUCAGGUUAACCCUACACAGGAGGUCAUGACAGGUUAACCCUACACAGGUCAUGUCAGGUUAACCCUACACAGGAGGUCAUGACAGGUUAACCCUACAAAGGUCAUGUCAGGUGAACCCUACACAGGAGGUCACUUCAGGCGAACCCUACACAGGUCAUGUUCCUUCAGGCGAACCCUACACAGGAGGUCAUGACAGGUUACCCUACACAGGUCACUUCGGGCGAACCCUACACAGGUCACGUCCCUUCAGGCGAAUCCUACACAGGUCACGUCCCUUCAGGCGAAUCCUACACAGGAGGUCAUGUCAGGUUAACCCUGCAUAAGUAUACUCUCACUGCCCAAUUGAAAUAAGAUGUAAACAAUUGUCAGCUUUGAUGAUUUGGCCUCUUACAGUCAUGAUUUGUAAUGCUUGUAUCCAUAGUAAGGGCCGUACUGUUACAUGCACUAGACCUUGUUAAGCAUUACUAAAUGCUUGGUUUUACUGGAUUUAUAGAUGCUUGUUCCAUAUGCAGGAGUGAUAUUAAAUAUGUUUUUGUUAUAAUG
rnacentral:misc_RNA from 1 species